rnacentral:rRNA from 1 species
AACGAACGCUGGCGGCAGGCCUAACACAUGCAAGUCGAACGGGACCUUCGGGUCUAGUGGCGGACGGGUGAGUAACGCGUGGGAACGUGCCCUUUGGUUCGGAAUAGCCCCGGGAAACUGGGAGUAAUACCGGAUAAGCCCUACGGGGGAAAGAUUUAUCGCCAAAGGACCGGCCCGCGUUGGAUUAGGUAGUUGGUGAGGUAAUGGCUCACCAAGCCGACGAUCCAUAGCUGGUUUGAGAGGAUGAUCAGCCACACUGGGACUGAGACGCGGCCCAGACUCCUACGGGAGGCAGCAGUGGGGAAUCUUAGACAAUGGGGGAAACCCUGAUCUAGCCAUGCCGCGUGAUCGAUGAAGGCCUUAGGGUUGUAAAGAUCUUUCAGUGGGGAAGAUAAUGACUGUACCCACAGAAGAAGCCCCGGCUAACUCCGUGCCAGCAGCCGCGGUAACAC